AACGUAGGUUCCGAGCGUUAUCCGGAUUUACUGGGCGUAAAGCGCGUUCAGGCGGUUUGGCAAGUCGGGCAUGAAAUCUCUCGGCUCAACCGGGAGAGGUUGUCCGAUACUUCCAGACUUGAGGGCAGUAGAGGGUGGUGGACUUCCGGGUGUAGUGGUGAAAUGCGUAGAUAUCCGGAGGAACACCAGUGGCGAAAGCGGCCACCUGGACUGCACCUGACGCUGACACGCGAAAGCUAGGGGAGCGAACGGG
rnacentral:rRNA from 1 species